rnacentral:tRNA from 1 species
UCGGGGGUCGUUCAAUGGUAGGACACCAGCCUUUGGAGCUGAGGAUCGGGGUUCGAGUCCCUGCCCCCGAGCCA